rnacentral:rRNA from 3 species
AAAUUGAAGAGUUUGAUCAUGGCUCAGAUUGAACGCUGGCGGCAGGCCUAACACAUGCAAGUCGAACGGUAACAGGAAGCAGCUUGCUGCUUCGCUGACGAGUGGCGGACGGGUGAGUAAUGUCUGGGAAACUGCCUGAUGGAGGGGGAUAACUACUGGAAACGGUGGCUAAUACCGCAUAACGUCGCAAGACCAAAGAGGGGGACCUUCGGGCCUCUUGCCAUCAGAUGUGCCCAGAUGGGAUUAGCUUGUUGGUGAGGUAACGGCUCACCAAGGCGACGAUCCCUAGCUGGUCUGAGAGGAUGACCAGCCACACUGGAACUGAGACACGGUCCAGACUCCUACGGGAGGCAGCAGUGGGGAAUAUUGCACAAUGGGCGCAAGCCUGAUGCAGCCAUGCCGCGUGUAUGAAGAAGGCCUUCGGGUUGUAAAGUACUUUCAGCGGGGAGGAAGGUGUUGUGGUUAAUAACCGCAGCAAUUGACGUUACCCGCAGAAGAAGCACCGGCUAACUCCGUGCCAGCAGCCGCGGUAAUACGGAGGGUGCAAGCGUUAAUCGGAAUUACUGGGCGUAAAGCGCACGCAGGCGGUCUGUCAAGUCGGAUGUGAAAUCCCCGGGCUCAACCUGGGAACUGCAUUCGAAACUGGCAGGCUUGAGUCUUGUAGAGGGGGGUAGAAUUCCAGGUGUAGCGGUGAAAUGCGUAGAGAUCUGGAGGAAUACCGGUGGCGAAGGCGGCCCCCUGGACAAAGACUGACGCUCAGGUGCGAAAGCGUGGGGAGCAAACAGGAUUAGAUACCCUGGUAGUCCACGCCGUAAACGAUGUCUACUUGGAGGUUGUGCCCUUGAGGCGUGGCUUCCGGAGCUAACGCGUUAAGUAGACCGCCUGGGGAGUACGGCCGCAAGGUUAAAACUCAAAUGAAUUGACGGGGGCCCGCACAAGCGGUGGAGCAUGUGGUUUAAUUCGAUGCAACGCGAAGAACCUUACCUGGUCUUGACAUCCACGGAAGUUUUCAGAGAUGAGAAUGUGCCUUCGGGAACCGUGAGACAGGUGCUGCAUGGCUGUCGUCAGCUCGUGUUGUGAAAUGUUGGGUUAAGUCCCGCAACGAGCGCAACCCUUAUCCUUUGUUGCCAGCGAUUCGGUCGGGAACUCAAAGGAGACUGCCAGUGAUAAACUGGAGGAAGGUGGGGAUGACGUCAAGUCAUCAUGGCCCUUACGACCAGGGCUACACACGUGCUACAAUGGCGCAUACAAAGAGAAGCGACCUCGCGAGAGCAAGCGGACCUCAUAAAGUGCGUCGUAGUCCGGAUUGGAGUCUGCAACUCGACUCCAUGAAGUCGGAAUCGCUAGUAAUCGUGGAUCAGAAUGCCACGGUGAAUACGUUCCCGGGCCUUGUACACACCGCCCGUCACACCAUGGGAGUGGGUUGCAAAAGAAGUAGGUAGCUUAACCUUCGGGAGGGCGCUUACCACUUUGUGAUUCAUGACUGGGGUGAAGUCGUAACAAGGUAACCGUAGGGGAACCUGCGGUUGGAUCACCUCCUUA